rnacentral:pre_miRNA from 1 species
GUUUGUUUCGUCCGAACCCAUGCGCCUCCAUCGAGAUAACGUCAUGCUGUCUACGGAACCAGAC